AUCGUUUCUCGGCCUUAUGGCUAAGAUCAAAAUGUGGUAUCUGUUCUAAUCAGCUUAACAUCUGAUAAAUCCUCCAUCGGAGCACAACAAAUUUUAAACUGAUUUUUGAAAAUCGACGAAGAGGUUUAUCGGUUUGCCCCACUUCCAUCACGGGUUGGCACGAUUUCGGAAAUCUCCACUAACCAAGCACAU